rnacentral:rRNA from 1 species
UACGUAGGCAGCAAGCGUUGUUCGGAAUUACUGGGCGUAAAGAGUGUGUAGGCGGUGCUCUAAGUUCGGUGUGAAAUCUCCCGGCUCAACUGGGAGGGUGCGCCGAAAACUGGAGUGCUGGAGCGCGGGAGAGGAAAGCGGAAUUCCUGGUGUAGCGGUGAAAUGCGUAGAUAUCAGGAGGAACACCGGCGGUGUAGACGGCUUUCUGGACCGUAGCUGACGCUCAUGCACGAAAGCGUGGGGAGCAAACAGG